UUGGAUUACCAAGUGGAUACCCUAUAAGACAUGGUCAUCAAAUGGUGAUGAGCCACACUCCUGGCCCUAGUGGAUUCAUCAAUGGUCUAAUGCCUCAAAGUAGGUACCAACUACCUAAUGUUCGCAUGUUUCAACAAAACCCUGUGAACAUUGGACCUCAAAGUUCAAAUGUUCCUAGAGGGAGUCAUUGCGGAAUACCUGGGAGUGGUCCAACUGGAUUCAUGAGUGCCCCUUUGGGCCCUUGUAACCACUAACCAAGUAUCAAUUUAUGUAAAGAUUCAACACUACAUGAUAACAAUCAAUCGGUGGGGUGUGAAGAUCACCACCUACACUCGAGUAAAUAGAUUUUCUUUUAUCAAAGGUAGCUAGGUGCUGUCAUGAUCCUAUUUGCUUGCAAGUCAUGGUUCAAUCAGGCUGGUUGCUAUAUUGCUUUGUCUGCAUGCUAGCAGUUGGAUGGUUUUGUGUGCGGUAGUGUUUUUGGAGAAAAAAUUUCAAUGGAUAAGUGGUGGUGCUGCGAGUUGCAAGCUAGCAUUUGGGUGUUUUGUUAAGUAGUUGGCAGGAUGUUUUGUCUUAUCAAAAUUUUUGUUAGGAAGUUGUCUUUGUUUCUACCAUAUGAUAGGCAUGGCUCCCAUUUUGUUUUUAUUUUAUUAAGGCAUGCCCAAAUUCUUCAUCCUUUAUUAUUUUCAACUUUGCAGAAGUUGUAUUGGUUUUCAUCAUAUGAUAGACAUGACUCCCUUUUGUUUUUAUUUUGUUGGGGCCUAUUUGAAAAGUUGUACAAUUAAUUUAGAGCUUGAGAAAACUCAAGGACAUUCUUACAUGGAUUAUAAGAGUAAAGCUAUGAGAAGUCUAAGAGCUAUGCAUUCGGGUUAUAAAGCUUGGUCUCCCUUUCACAUGCUUGGCAACAAAUGAGGUACAAAACAUACAUCAAGUUAGGCUAUUGAAUCUUUGGGAUUGAAACAAACACAUACAUUAAGGUGAGUCUCAUGGCUAAUUUACCACCAACAUCACUGGUUUCAGGGUCCAAGCCAAAACACGCCCUGAUUAAACAGUCUAAAUUCCAUUUUGAGCAGCCCCUAACUCUAGUUUGUGGAGACUUAUUGGAGGAUUGAUGCAGUGAGAAAUUAAAAGCCAGCUAACAACAACAUUAGAUAUUCAGAUUGUCCAGUGUCACACUUACGGUAUGCCUACUAAGCAUAUUUAAGAGGUCUACAAUUGUUGUACAAAGAGUUCUUGCAUUGUUGUAUGGAAAAAUGAUGUUAUACAAGGAUUGAAAGUUGUAUGAAAAAUUGUUGUAACAUAUAGGAAAUGAAAGAGCGGUAAAGUAUUAUCGAGAACUUGAG